rnacentral:rRNA from 1 species
CGCAAGGCGCUCGACCGACAGUAAAGUCUUAUACAGUUGUUUACCUGGGGCGGGAACCUUCAUUAAAGUAACGAGGGUAAACAAAGGCAUACUAAAAGUGAACUAUAAAGCUGUGCUUAACUGUGAGAAACACUAUUCAAGCAGAUGUAUAUCCAUAUUUAAUUAUGGUAAAGCAGGUAGUAAUGAACGGGUUUCUUUUAUUAAGGAAUCUAUCAACGGACAAAAGGUACGCCGGGGAUAACACAUAAGUAUUGUCCUUUAUGCAUAAAAUUGUGUAGAUUAAAUUGGGUUAAAUUCAAGAAUAACGCGUGAAGAGGUUAACUUGAAGCAAAGUUCUUUUAACUAACAAGGGCGCCUCGCGCUCCGCGCGAGUCACCCGGCUCCGUCCGGGGGACUCCGCGGAAUGGCCGGUUUGUAAAAAGAAAAUGUUCAACGACUAAAAAGAUUAAAGAAAUCCCUUUUUCAAUUUUUUUACUGUAAUCUUUUGUAAUAAGCCCAACAACUUAAAUAAUAAAAUUGUACGACGUCGCCCUCGACGGAGUCCUGGUUCCCUCGCGUCCGGUGGGACGCCUGGUUCCCUCGUUCCCUGUCAAAUAAAUUUUUUUUAUAAAAAAAAUUUAUAAGGGGACAGGGAACCUGGUUCCCUCGCGUCCGGUGGGACGCCUGGUUCCCUCGUUCCCUGUCAAGGGGACAGGGAACUCGGUCGACGUCGCAGCGCUCUCGCGCGAGGCGCUCGACCGACGUGUACAACUAAUAGGGCGCCUCGCGCUCCGCGCCCUAUUCUUUUUUUAAAAGAAUAGGGCGCCUCGCGGAGUCACCCGGCUCCGUCCGGGGGACUCCGCGGUAUAAAAGCGUGGGAAACUUAUAUUAACAUUUUCUAUCCGCGGAGUCCCCCGGACGGAGCCGGGUGACUCGCGCGGAGCGCGAGGCGCCCUAAUUACACAUAUAUAAAGACACACAUACAUACGCACACAAACAUACACACAAUUUUAUAAGUUGAAGACAUAGUCUGAACUCAAUAUUUAAUAUGAAUAUGUUGAGAUUAACAAAUUGAACAGGCUUAUGUGAAUAGAGAGUUCAUAUCGACAUUCACGUUUGGCACCUCGACAUUUCAAAAAGGGGUUUUAUAUUAUAAAGGAUAUAUAUUAUUUGGCUAUUUGCUGAGACCUCUAUUACCCUAAUUUUUGAGGCGCCCCGCGGAGUCCCCCGGACGGAGCCGGGUGACUCCGCGAGGCGCCCUAUUCUUUUUUUUAAAGAAUAGGGCGCGGAGCGCGAGGCGCCCUAUUCUUUUUUUUAAAGAAUAGGGCGCGGAGCGCGAGGCGCCCUAACAUACGGCCAGCAAGUUUUGUUGCCGCUGGUUCCCUCGCGUCCGGUGGGACGCCUGGUUCCCUCGUUCCCUGUCAAAUAAAUUUUUUUUAUUUUUAAAAUUUAUAAGGGGACAGGGAACUCGGUCGAGCGCCUUGCGCGAGAGCGCUGCGGCGUCGACCUCGCGUCCCACCGGACGCGAGGGAACCAGGACUCCGUCGAGGGCGACGUCGUACAGGGUCCGUUUUUUUAUAGGGUUUGUAGACAAUCAGCAGGGUUUUAUAAACCUUCAACGACUGCAUGCUAAACAUUAUAACAAUAAUAAUGAUGAUACAGUCUGAACUAUUAAGCUAAUUAAUAGAGCGUUAAACACGCAUGAAUUACAAUUAUAGGCGGGCCAGAGCGGGGCGCCUCGCGCUCCGCGCGAGUCACCCGGCUCCGUCCGGGGGACUCCGCGGUAAAUUGGCUAUAAUUGUAAUUCAUAACAUUAUUGCGAUGUUGAAUCAUCGCGUCCUUAAGCUGUACAAGGUUUAAAGGGUUAGGGUGUUCACCUAUUAAAGCGGUACGUGAUUUGAGUUUACCCCAAAAAGUAUUUUUGCGAAGGUCCCAACGGGACCGCUAUAUACUCUAAGUUAGACUCAUUAUGCGAUUAAAGCAUAAAACAAACUGGAUUCAAUUCAAGAAAAGUAUAAAUAAUAUACCAACUUGAAGCAUGACAACCGCAGAAAGGCGAAGGUCACAACGGGACCGCUAACGUAUAAAAAUAAAGGUUUUAUAUCCCUUGUUAUAUCUAUGGGGCGCCUCGCGCUCCGCGCGAGUCACCCGGCUCCGUCCGGGGGACUCCGCGGUAUAGGGCGCCUCGCGCUCCGCGCCCUAUUCUUUAAAAAAAAGAAUAGGGCGCCUCGCGGAGUCACCCGGCUCCGUCCGGGGGACUCCGCGGCCAGAGGGUUAUAAUGUGGGGCGCCUCGCGCUCCGCGCGAGUCACCCGGCUACGUCCGGGGGACUCCGCGGUAUAAAAUAUUAAGGGGCGCUCUGCGGAAAAUAAGGUUAUGCUCAACGACUAAAUAAUUCAACCCAACACUAUCUGUAAAGGGCAAGACAUAGUCUGAACUGAAAGGUUACUUUUAGAUUAACAAAUUUGUACUACGGUGAGAGCCAGUAGAGUUUCUAUCUUCUAACACAACAUUUAAUGCACAAAAAGGUAAUAGUACGAAAGGACCCUUACCUUUAAACCUCUGGUGUAGCUAUUAUUUUUAGUAUUGUAGCAUUGCUAAGUUUAUUAUGAAUAAGGUGCGGAAAAUAUAUAUGUUACAAAUGGAAUAGCGUAUUGUGUUUUAGCAUAUACGUUUAUAAAUAUAAAUAUAACCGGGUCAAAUAA